UCCCUGGUGGUCCAGUGGAUAAGCCUCCAUGUUCCCAAUGUGGAGGGCCCAGGUUCAAUCCCUGGUCAGGAAA
rnacentral:tRNA from 1 species